rnacentral:rRNA from 1 species
GACGAACGCUGGCGGCGUGCCUAAUACAUGCAAGUAGAACGCUGAAGGAGGAGCUUGCUUCUCUGGAUGAGUUGCGAACGGGUGAGUAACGCGUAGGUAACCUGCCUGGUAGCGGGGGAUAACUAUUGGAAACGAUAGCUAAUACCGCAUAAUAGUAGAUGUUGCAUGACAUUUGCUUAAAAGGUGCAAUUGCAUCACUACCAGAUGGACCUGCGUUGUAUUAGCUAGUUGGUGAGGUAACGGCUCACCAAGGCGACGAUACAUAGCCGACCUGAGAGGGUGAUCGGCCACACUGGGACUGAGACACGGCCCAGACUCCUACGGGAGGCAGCAGUAGGGAAUCUUCGGCAAUGGACGGAAGUCUGACCGAGCAACGCCGCGUGAGCGAAGAAGGUUUUCGGAUCGUAAAGCUCUGUUGUAAGAGAAGAACGAGUGUGAGAGUGGAAAGUUCACACUGUGACGGUAUCUUACCAGAAAGGGACGGCUAACUACGUG